GUGGUUCAUAGACUUGCAGGUCUGAAAUUGGAAAAGCUGAUUCCGUUAAGAAGCAUUGGAGAUAAGGCUCUGUUCAUUAAUGAUAGGUGUCUAUCUGUUUCCUCUAAUGGGGCAUUGCCUACUGUUGUCAGUGACACCAUUGUUCUGCCCAGCAUCAAAGAUGGGUCACUUGUUGAAUACCACCUUAAUACUAAUACUUGGUCACGGCCUAUGGACGGUUGCAUCCGAUGGGGUCCGGUGUUUGGCCCCUGUAGCCUUAUCUAUCAUAUUUACACCUGUUGCCGACGUGAAUAUUGGAACAAAGGGCAACUAUACAACCGGAGCAAAGCGUGCAAGUGGAGAGCGAAGGGAAAGCGGCAGUGGCGCGUUGGGGCGUAAAUGAUUUACUACGGAGGCCAUCAUGAUUGAUUUGUUAUUGCUCUUUGUUAUUCGAAAUGGUAUCUUCAAAUCUUUACCACAAUCAAGGGGCCGGAGAGGAAUCUUGCAAUCACUUGCUGGAUUCCAUAAUAUCAUGUAGACAAAGAAGAGCCAGGCUUUUGGAUUAUGAUGAAGUUGUACACUUGUUUAUGUGCAAACGUUGCCAACAAAUGUGUAAUAAUUUGGUUUAUACCAUUUGCUGGUACUUAUGCUAGCUUAGUGAUAUAUUUUUAAUUAUUUUUGCCCUUUUUGUCUCUCA